rnacentral:rRNA from 1 species
AUACGAAGGGGGCUAGCGUUGCUCGGAAUCACGUGGGCGUAAAGGGUGCGUAGGCGGGUCUUUAAGUCAGGGGUGAAAUCCUGGAGCUCAACUCCAGAACUGCCUUUGAUACUGAGGAUCUUGAGUUCGGGAGAGGUGAGUGGAACUGCGAGUGUAGAGGUGAAAUUCGUAGAUAUUCGCAAGAACACCAGUGGCGAAGGCGGCUCACUGGCCCGAUACUGACGCUGAGGCACGAAAGCGUGGGGAGC